UUAGGAGUAUAAAUAUUUGGAUGAAUAUGACGAGGAAGGUGAAGAACAAGAAGAGGAUGAGUGUGGUAAAGAGGAAUAUGAGGAGGAAGAAACUGAAAAACUUCCAAAAGAGUUAUUGGAGUACCAGGAACUCAGAUAAAUGACUGAAAAAGAUAUCAGGAAACAGAGGAAGACAAGAAAUUAAGAAGGCAUUGCCAAGGGACAAGAUAAGGAGCUGAUUGAAUAUAUCCCAGUGCGAUCAAUCACUAACAAGCAUCUACUUGAAGCUAUCAAUUAUAUGAACUGGGUCAAAAGUGAUUUGGAGACAUCCGUUUUCUAGUCAAGAAGCAAGUUGGAAUACUUUAAAAAAAUUGACAAAUUUAUUAUCUUUUUUUAAGGCUUGUAUGGAAUACUUUAAUAGGAAUUUUUGUUUUUUUGGCCAAUGAGUUGCUUAAUAGUCUUGUGACCAUAUUUUUGUAAACAAUAUUGUUUGUGAGAUGUUAAUCAACACU